UACGGAGGGGGCUAGCGUUGUUCGGAAUUACUGGGCGUAAAGGGCGGGUAGGCGGCCACCGCAAGUCAGUUGUGAAAUCUCUGGGCUUAACCCAGAAAGGUCAACUGAUACUGCGGGGCUAGAGUGCAGAAGGGGCAACUGGAAUUCUCGGUGUAGCGGUGAAAUGCGUAGAUAUCGAGAGGAACACCUGCGGCGAAGGCGGGUUGCUGGGCUGACACUGACGCUGAACUGCGAAAGCUAGGGGAGCGAACGGG
rnacentral:rRNA from 1 species